GACGAACGCUGGCGGCGUGCUUAACACAUGCAAGUCGAGGGCGUGGUGGGGCAACCUGCCACGACCGGCGAACGGGUGCGUAACACGUGAGCGAUCUACCCUGGUGUGGGGAGUAGCCGGCCCAACCGGCCGGGUAAGUACCGCAUACGCUCUUUGUAGGGGCGAUCCCUUCGGAGAACAAAGUACUUCGGACGCACUGGGAGGGGCUCGCGGCCUAUCAGCUAGUUGGCGGGGUAACGGCCCACCAAGGCGGCGACGGGUAGCUGGUCUGAGAGGAUGGCCAGCCACAUUGGGACUGAGAGACGGCCCAGACUCUACGGGAGGCAGCAGUGGGGAAUCUU
rnacentral:rRNA from 1 species